CACACUGCCCUUCGGAUUCGUCUUCAUCGUCCGAUGCUGAAAUUAUAGAUCGUACGGCAGUGGCGGCUUUAAGAAAUGCUUCUUUGAUUGAUUCGGGUGGCAGUGCACAAUCUUCGAGGCCUGCGUCUUCGAGAUGAGGUGGUCGGAUUUUGUCGAGCAAACUCUCGGAUUCCUUUGUUAGCUCCAUUGUUUGUUCUGCUGGUAAUAAAACCGACCAAAUCUCCGCUGUUCUCCUCCUCCUUGGCACCGUCUACAACCACCACAUCAGUCGUCCCCUCCGGCAGUUGACCGCCGCUGCCCUUCUCAGUAAUGCAUUUUCCUGGAUUUUCCUCAGUACCCACAGCGAUUCCUACAAGAGCAUCCUUAGAAUCCUCGAUUGGGGAUGGAGUCUGAACACACUGCCCUUCGAAUUCGUCUUCAUCGUCCGAUGAGGAAAUUAUAGAUCGUACGGAAGUGGCGGCUUUGAGAAAUGCCUCUUUGAUUGAUUCGGGUGGAAGUGAACAAUCUUCGAGGCCUGCGUCUUCGAGACGAGGUGGUCGGAUUUUGUCGAGCAAACUCUCGGAUUCCUUUGUUAACUCCAUUGUUUUUUCUGCUGGUAAUAAUUCAGUAGGAGAAAAAGCCCUAAGUUUGUUGAAUUGGGAAGACUAAUGAGAAAAUCGAUUACGAGUCGAGAAUUGUGGACCAAUUUUUGCUUUUCUAGAGGACGAAUCGCUACGUGUCGCCGUCCUCAAACGGUCGCAUGUGUUGAAAUAGG
rnacentral:lncRNA from 1 species